AAAAACAUUUCCUCUUGGUAUAAGAGGUAAGGCCUGCUCACUGACUAGGUUGAAGAGCCGCAGUAUAUUGACUGUGCUAAGGUAGCAUAAUCAUUAGUCCUUUAAUUGGGGACUGGUAUGAAUGGCUAAACGAGAAAUUAGCUUUCUUUGUUAUGGUUUGUUGAAUUUAACUUGUAAGUGAAAAGGCUUACAUGAUUCAGAAAGACGAGAAGACCCUAUAGAGUUUUACAAAGGCCUAAAAUACAGCUUAUUAGUUUUUAAGGGUUAUAUUUUGGAAAUUUGUUUGGUUGGGGCGACAUAAAGAUAAAAAAAACUCUUUGUAGUAUAAACUUUGGUAGAAGAAAAGGUUUGAUCCUCUAAAAGGGAUUAUAAGAAAAAAUUACCUUAGGGAUAACAGCGUAAUCUUCUUUUAGAGUUCAAAUCGACAAGAAGGUUUGCGACCUCGAUGUUGGACUAAAAUUUGGGCAAGGUGCAGCAGCUUUGUUUUUGGGUCUGUUCGACCCGUAAUAUUUUACAUGAUCUGAGUU
rnacentral:rRNA from 1 species